GACGAACGCUGGCGGCGUGCUUAACACAUGCAAGUCGAACGGAAAGGCCCUGCUUUUGUGGGGUGCUCGAGUGGCGAACGGGUGAGUAACACGUGAGUAACCUGCCCUUGACUUUGGGAUAACUUCAGGAAACUGGGGCUAAUACCGGAUAGGAGCUCCUGCUGCAUGGUGGGGGUUGGAAAGUUUCGGCGGUUGGGGAUGGACUCGCGGCUUAUCAGCUUGUUGGUGGGGUAGUGGCUUACCAAGGCUUUGACGGGUAGCCGGCCUGAGAGGGUGACCGGCCACAUUGGGACUGAGAUACGGCCCAGACUCCUACGGGAGGCAGCAGUGGGGAAUAUUGCACAAUGGGCGGAAGCCUGAAGCAGCAACGCCGCGUGCGGGAUGACGGCCUUCGGGUUGUAAACCGCUUUCGCCUGUGACGAAGCGUGAGUGACGGUAAUGGGUAAAGAAGCACGGGCUAAGUACGUG
rnacentral:rRNA from 1 species